rnacentral:lncRNA from 1 species
GCCAAUUUGCAUUCUCUCUUCCCUGCUCUCCCUACUUCUGAUUUUCCCACCCCCAAUUCCCUCCUUCUAUCAGCAUCUGAUAUCUAUUUUGUUUCCCUUCCUGAGAAAGAUUCAACCAUCUUCUCUUGGGCCCUCCUUGUUAUUUGUCUUCUUUGAGUCCGUUGAUUAUUGUGUGGUUAUCCAUACUUUAUGGCUAAUAUCCACUUAUAAGUGAGUAUAUACCAUGCAUGCUCUUUUGGUUCUGGUUUACCUCAUUCAGGAUAAUAUUUUCUAGCUCUAUCCAUUUGCCUGUGAAAUUCACGAUGUCCUUGUUUUUAAUGACUGAAUAGUAUUCAAUUGUGUACAAUGAACCACAUUUUCUUUGUCCAUUCUUCAACUGAGGGAUAUCUGAGUUGUUUCCAGUUUCUGGAUAUUAUGAAUAAGGCUGCUAUGAACAAGUUGAGCAUAGUUGAUCAAGUGUCCUUGUGGGAUAUUAGAACAUCUUUUGGGUAUAUGGCCAGGAGUGGUAUAGCUGGGUCUUAAGAUAGAUGUAUUCCCAAUUUUUUGAGAAACCACCAAAUUGAUUUUCAGAGUGGUUAUACAAGUUUGCACUCCCAUCAGCAGUAGAGUAUUCUCCUUUCUCCAAAACCACGCCAGCUUGUGCUGUCCCUUGAGUUUUGAUCUUAGGCAUUCUCAGAGUCAUUUUUACUUACAUUUCCCUGGUGACUAAGGAUGUUGAACAUUUCUUUGGGUGCUUCUUGGCCAUUCAAGAUUGCUGUGUUAAGAAUUCUCUGUAGCUCUGUAUCCCAUUUUUUAAUUGGGUUAUUUGGUUUGUUGGUGUCUAGCUUCUUGAGUUCUUUAUGUAUUUUGAAUAUUAGCCCCCUGUCAGAGAUAAGGUUGGUGAAGAUCUUUUCCCAAUCUGUAGGCUAUUGUUUUGUCCUAUUAGUAGUGUCCUUUACCUUACAGUAGCUUUUCAGUUUCAUGAGGUCCCAUUUAUUAAUUGUUGACCUUAGUGCCUAAGCUAUUGGUGUUCUGUUCAGGCAGUUGUCUUCUGUACUGACAAGUUCAAGGCUAUUCCCGACUCUCUAUUCUAUUAUAUUUAGUAUGUCUGGUUUUAAUUUGAGGUCUUUGGUCCAUUUGGACUUAAGUUUUGUGCAGGGUGAUAAAUGCAGAUUUAUUUGUAUUCUUCUACAUGCUGACAUCCAGUUAGACCAGCACCAUUUGUUGAGAUGCUCUCCCUUUUCCGUUGUAUGGUUUUGGCUUCCUUGUCAAAAAUCAAGUGUUCAUAGGUAUGUGAAUUUAUUUCUGUGUCUUCAACUUGAUUUCUAUUGAUCAGUCUGUUUCUAUACCAAUACCAUGUAGUUUUUAUUACUAUUACUCUGGAGUACAGCUUGAAAUC